UGUCCUGCAUCACUUUGUACGGUCUCAAGCGACGGCCAUCAGCCGUAGAGAUCAACGGACGCCUGCUUCCAUUCAACACCACCGACAGGUUGCUGAUCGCAAAAGGCGUGAACCACGACGCUACUUCGCCGUUUUUGAUUACUGUAUCUUAGAGAGCAUGUUUCGAACCGAAUAAAGCAACACGAUUUGGCGGGAUCGA